AUAGCAAUGUUAAGGUGAAAUGGUACCUAUACUCCACAACAGAGUACCCUUUAGUGUAUGGCCCAGAUAAUGAGGAUGUCCUCAGCAAAUUCAAUGGCAAGACAAGACUGUACGGAUUGCCUAGUGAGAAAAAUUGCAGUUUGGAAAUAAAGCAACUUGAUAUGCUCCAUAAUGGGGAUAGACUGUAUCCCUGGAUUGAUCCAAAACCGGUUUAGUUAUUUCACAAGAUAAAUUACUAUGACAAAUCUAUUGAACUCCAAAUAACAGAGCAAGCCCUUAAACCAAAACUAAGUAUUACUGGUGUACCAAGAGUGGGAGAGCAAGUCACAGUGUCCUGUAGUGUCCUGCAUACCUGUCCGCCCAAUUCUCCAAGUCUAUCUGUGGGGAAAGCACUUGAGACUGACAUCACUGUACACACUCCAGUAGAGGAUGGCUUUUGGGAAACCAUCAGGGUUCACACAUUUAUAAUUAAGGAAGAGGAGCAUACUGUUACAUGUAAAGCCACAUUUCAUAGUGGACACACAUCAGAAGCACAAAUCAAUCUCAAUGCUCAGUGUAAGUAGUAAUGCCUGGACAACAGGCUGAUUUACACCUCCUGAUUAUUGCAAAAGUUGUCUUGAUUUUACACCGGUCUUAAGCGAUUAUCUUUCCAUAUUACUUGAAGGUGUGGGGUGUGUAAAGUCAAAUAUAAACCCAUCUAAACUAUUCACAACCAAUUGUUGUUUUCCCAAUUUACAACGGUAAAUAUGUUCAAUAUUUAAGACUUGAUAUCCUGUGUGGAAAUUAGAGCAGCAGGUAGAGAUGCUGUCUCACAGCUCCAGGGCUCCUAGACUGAUCCUGAGUGGAGUCUGUGUGGAGUUUUGCAUUUUCCAAAACAUCCAGAUAGAGAGGAUUUGCUACAUUCCCUGUAAGUGUUUCUGGGAUAGGCUCCGUGGCCCUGAACAGGAUAAAAUGGUUACAGAAGAUGAAGGAAUGAACAUCCUGUAGUUUUUGGUGUGUGGGGAGUUGAGACUGUCUGGUGUAAUAAUCUUGAUGUCGUGUGAAAGACCAGUAACUAAUGACAGCUGAGCUAAACUGCCAUCCUACAUGAUCAUUUUGAUCUGAAUUCAGGUUUGUUCAUGAGAAAUCCUACAAGAGCCCAGCUUCUGAAAGUUGGUUGGGACUAAUUUAAGUGUGUGGUGUUGUAUUCUAGGCAAACCUUGGAGUUUGGGAUUUGGUGACUAAAUACAAAAUCUGCCAUUAUAUUGCAAUAACUUUAAAUGGUGUUCAGGAUGGUAUAACUCUUGUAUGGCCCUAGCUCAUUCCUCAUUUUACAGCUUCCCAAAGCAGCAAAUGUAAUCAUAUAUCACUUAAAUAUCAGAGUUUAUUUCUCCUUACAUGCUUGGUAGAUGUACUACCACUGUUAACAAUUUGCAUCUUACUGUAUUUAAAAUUACAAUAAAAAUUCAAUACUAUGACACAACUGAAAAGAAUUUUGCCAUUUGAUGUUUCAACAUAAGUAAUCAUUCAUGAACGAUCUGUUAAGAAUGCUUUAUGAUUUAUAACUAUACACAGUAUUGACAGUACAGUAUGAGGAUAUACUAUGAUGUGGUAUUCAUCUUCCCACUAAAUUUCAAGUAUUUUCAUUAACAUGUGCUUUUACAAGGCUUAUAAUUUUAUUUCAGGUACCUAUAAGGAUAUAGGGUUAGGAUCCUGAGGUGGCUGAUGUUGUAGAGGGUGUUGGGAAUAACUUCACCUGCACAGUUUUCCAUUUCUGCAUGGGUCAGCCUCCAGUUUUCACCUGGAACUACAAAGACAUGCCAGACACUGUGGGGACUAAAAAAGGCCCAUCAUUAACCUGGGCCACCUACUCCAAUGCAUUAUAUAUAGCUUCAAUGGAGGAUGAUGGCAAGAAACUGACUUGCACUGCAACAUUUCCUGGUGGAGAGAUCACAACUUCCAUUGUUUUACAGGUUCAAAGAUACGUGCCAAAAGUGGUGGAUCCAUUUGAGAAUGACAGUAUGUGUUUUUUCUAUUUUUAUACUUUACCAUUAUAAAAUGUAUUAAAGUGUUCAUAAUUGUGUGUGUGUG